rnacentral:snRNA from 1 species
AAAAAUAGGCAUGGGCUAAGUGUGGUGGUCAGGAAAGCGAGGUGUACCUGGGCUAUAUAGCGAGACCUUGUCUCAAACCCGGCUUAUCCAUUGCACUCCGGAUGUGCUGACCCCUGCGAUUUCCCCAAAUGUGGGAAACUCGACUGCAUAAUUUGUGGUAGCGGGGAACUGCAUUGGUGCUCU